rnacentral:rRNA from 1 species
UACGGAGGGUGCAAGCGUUAAUCGGAAUUACUGGGCGUAAAGCGUGCGCAGGCGGUUUGUUAAGUCCGCUGUGAAAUCCCCGAGCUCAACUUGGGAAUUGCAGUGGAUACCGGCAAGCUGGAGUAUGGUAGAGGAAGGUGGAAUUCCCGGUGUAGCAGUGAAUGCGUAGAGAUCGGAGGAACACCAGUGGCGAAGGCGGCCUUCUGGACCAAUACUGACGCUCAUGCACGAAGCGUGGGAGCAACAGG